CCUACGGGAGGCAGCAGUGGGGAAUAUUGCACAAUGGGCGAAAGCCUGAUGCAGCAACGCCGCGUGAAGGAAGGCGGUUUUCGGAUUGUAAACUUCUGUUCUUAGUGAAGAAUCAUGACGGUAACUAAGGAGCAAGCCACGGCUAACUACGUGCCAGCAGCCGCGGUAAUACGUAGGUUGCAAGCGUUGUCCGGAAUUACUGGGUGUAAAGGGCUAGUAGGCGGGAAGAGAAGUCAGCUGUUAAAACUACGGGCUUAACCUGUAGACUGCAGGGGAAACUGGCUAUCUUGAGUGAAGUAGAGGUAGGCGGAAUUCCGAGGGUAGCGGUGAAAUGCGUAGAUAUUCGGAGGAACACCGGUGGCGAAGGCGGCCAACUGGGCUUUAACUGACGCUGAGGCUCGAAAGUGUGGGGAGCAAACAGGAUUAGAUACCCCAGUAGUC
rnacentral:rRNA from 1 species